rnacentral:rRNA from 1 species
GACGAACGCUGGCGGCGUGCUUAACACAUGCAAGUCGAACGGUAAGGCCCUUCGGGGUACACGAGUGGCGAACGGGUGAGUAACACGUGGGUGAUCUGCCCUGCACUUCGGGAUAAGCCUGGGAAACUGGGUCUAAUACCGGAUAGGACUCCGGACUGCAUGGUCUGGGGUGGAAAGCUUUUGCGGUGUGGGAUGGGCCCGCGGCCUAUCAGCUUGUUGGUGGGGUGAUGGCCUACCAAGGCGACGACGGGUAGCCGGCCUGAGAGGGUGACCGACCACACUGGGACUGAGAGACGGCCCAGACUCCUACGGGAGGCAGCAGUGGGGAAUAUUGCACAAUGGGCGCAAGCCUGAUGCAGCGACGCCGCGUGAGGGAUGACGGCCUUCGGGUUGUAAACCUCUUUCAGCACAGACGAAGCGCAAGUGACGGUAUGUGCAGAAGAAGGACCGGCCAACUACGUGCCAGCCGCCGCGGUAA